rnacentral:rRNA from 1 species
CCUACGUGUGGCAGCAGUGGGGAAUAUUGGGCAAUGGGCGCAAGCCUGACCCAGCAACGCCGCGUGAAGGAAGAAGGCUUUCGGGUUGUAAACUUCUUUUGUCAGGGAAGAGUAGAAGACGGUACCUGACGAAUAAGCCACGGCUAACUACGUGCCAGCAGCCGCGGUCAUACGUAGGUGGCAAGCGUUGUCCGGAUUUACUGGGUGUAAAGGGCGUGUAGCCGGGUUGACAAGUCAGAUGUGAAAUCCUGCGGCUUAACCGCAGAACUGCAUUUGAAACUGUUGAUCUUGAGUACUGGAGAGGCAGACGGAAUGCCUAGUGUAGCGGUGAAAUGCAUAGAUAUCACGCAGAACCCCGAUUGCGAAGGCAGCCUUCCGGCGCCCUACUGACGCUGAGGCACGAAAGUGCGGGGAUCGAACAGGAUUAGAUACCCGUGUAGUC